UACGAAGGAGGCUAGCGUUGCUCGGAAUCACUGGGCGUAAAGCGCACGUAGGCGGACAUUUUAAGUCGGGGGGUGAAAUCCCAAGAGCUCAACUCUGGAACUGCCUUUGAUACUGGAUGUCUUGAGUGUGAGAGAGGUAUGUGGAACUCCGAGUGUAGAGGUGAAAAUUCGUAGAUAGUUCGGAAAGAACACCAGUGGCGGAAGGCGAACAUACUGGCUCAUUACUGACGCUGAGGCUCGAAAGCGUGGGGAGCAAACAGG
rnacentral:rRNA from 1 species